AGAGCAAUUGCUUAUAAUAGUUGGGUUCUUCGGCUUGAUUAGUUUAACCGGAACAAACUUUUAUUUUGCCUUUGCCAAAAAUGUACAUCACAACGGGCAAGACAUUUGCGCUGCUGAAAGGACCUUUACGUGAUUGUCUUUUUCAUAGUAGGAGAUGCCCAGCUGUUCAUCAAUUGCACUUAAGUGUCGCCAUGGGAAAUUAUGUGAAUGAAGCCUCAAUUCCCCUUCCAAUCAAUGUGGACUCUGCGGAAACAACUCGAUUCUCCCCCCAGCGCUCGCGUGACAUUUCGUCUACAGUGAUUAAUGCACAAGCACCAAUCUCAAGCAUUGAUAUCACAAUUGACAACAGUUUUCACGCAGUCCUAAGCGACUCAAAUAUUUGUCACGAUCCACAUGUACAGUCCUAUGAUUGUUUCGGGUCGAUCAGUCUUAAUUCCGCGAUGCAAAGCAAUGUACCGACACCGUUUGGGGGGCUCAACAAGUUUUCUCAUCUGAACAUGCCUGGCGGACAAUGGUCCCAGGAAUUUAAAUUUACAGCGCAAAACAUGCAGUGCUCUCACUACAGCGCUCUUCGCGAUAGCUUGCGAGCGGAUUGGGCGACUUACGAUCAAAAUGCUACUCUUAAAACGAAUGACCAAGGUGAGAAGCUUCGUUCAAAAAGUAACGAGUAAAAAUAUGUAACUCGAAGCAUCUUUUCGUAUAUGGAUAUUUUCAUGUAUACAUGCAUAUAUAUAACAUUUGUCCAGGAAUCCUAUUAUAGAAGCUUUCAGGGCUGAAGAUUGAAAUUGGCAAAGGAAUUUAUUAAAUUGAAAGAAAACCGAACGUACGUGCCCAACGUAUUUUUCGAAUACCAUGUUUUUUUAGCUUUUUGAGGUAUAAAUAUUCGGACUUUCAUAUGGAUGGACAUGGACAGAUCGAUCCUGAUAGAGAUUCAAGUCGAAAACACUUUUCUUUUAUCUGUAAGAUACUUUUCAUCGAAUAUACAGAACCUCAUUUAAAUUCGAGUAAUGGGUAUACAACUCUGAAAUAAAAUAGAUAUAUUUUGUAUGAAA
rnacentral:misc_RNA from 1 species